CCGAACUGAACCUAUUCCCAGCCUUACAAAAGCCUUGAUAGCAGCCCUGGGAAAGCACAGAUCCUACUGUGCAUCAUCUCCUGUCUCUGGUGUCCCGGUAACUCCCUAACUCCAACUUUCUCCAUCUUCGGAGCUGUGACCUAUUCAUGAGUCAUGACAUCAACUGAGACGGGGUCUUAUAACAUUGCACAGCCUGGCCUGGAACUACAGGUGUUAUGGUUUGGAUGUGAGGUGUUCCCCGCAAAG